rnacentral:rRNA from 1 species
UACGGGGGGAGCAAGCGUUGUUCGGAUUUACUGGGCGUAAAGGGCGCGUAGGCGGCCUGAUAAGUAGGGGGUGAAAUCUUGCGGCUCAACCGCAAGGCUGCCUUCUAAACUGUCAGGCUGGAGCACGGUAGAGGCAGAUGGAAUUCCCGGUGUAGCGGUGGAAUGCGUAGAGAUCGGGAAGAACAUCGGUGGCGAAAGCGCUCUACUGGACGGUAUCUGACACUGAGGGACGAAAGCUAGGGGAGCGAAUGGG